rnacentral:misc_RNA from 1 species
AAGUCGUAACAAGGUAACCGUAGGUGAACCUGCGGUUGGAUCAUCCGAGAGAGUGGCACACGCAGUGUGACACGCAGUGUUACACGCAGUGUGUGUCGCUCGUAAUAGUUAGUGACUUGUGUCUUUUCUCGUUCUUUUCGGUGAAUCACAGAAAAAAGAGAGAAAUCGCUUUUUGGUGAAUCACAGAAAAGAGAGAGAGACACGUCACUUGCAAACACCAAUUCCAGCGAAACGCACAUUUUCUCUGAAAAGAGAGAGAAGCACCAAUCGAAAUCACUCUAAAACAUGACAAAGAAAGAAACAGAAAGAUACAACUUUUGACAAUGGAUCUCUUGGUUCUC